rnacentral:rRNA from 1 species
CAAGGUCUUCUCCGUUGGUGAACCAGCGGAGGGAUCAUU